AAAAAUUUAGUUAAAAAAUAACGCUAGCUUGUCAAGCUAGAAUUAUUAUUAAAUAAUAAUUUUUA
rnacentral:tRNA from 1 species